rnacentral:lncRNA from 1 species
GGAUGCCAAAAACUGACGAGACACCAAUUGAUUCGUGUUGCACCGAGGAAGAAGUUGUGCACACGUUUAAAUCCUACUAACACAAGAAACAAGAAGGUGUUAGAUAACGUAAAGGAAGAAUAAAGGUAAACAAAUGAAAACCUACAGCUAAGAAUCAAUAAAAAUUGCUGAAAACAGAAAACCCGAAAAACUGCGGAGUAACUUGACAACUUCGUUCGAGGUGUUCCCGAUCUCCAAAAAUCACGAAAUUAAAUCUGGAGUGUCCUUACAUAUUGAAUUUUUGAUCUGGAAAUUUUGGGCACCAAAUUCAACCCGCUGAAUCUUUUUUUAAAUUUUUAUUGAAUUUCGUCUUUUUUUAUUACUUUGACUUUUUUGACUGAUUUUUUUGCGGGAAUAAUUUUUUUAUAUUCAAUCACAGUGCCAAAAACAUGUAUAUAAAAUUUCAGAUCAAUAGGACAACGUUUACCCACUCAAAUGAAUUUUUUUUUGAAUAAUUUUUCUGGGUAAAACUGCUGUUUAUGCUUUAAAAAAUAAAGAUCAGUUUAGAAAUCAACCAAGAACACCCAAAACGCCCAAAAUCUGAUACCAAAUGAUACGGGGUUGCGCGCGGACCAAGAUCGAGUUGCCAAGUCACGGGAAACUCCUACGAAAACCCUAAACAAUUAGAUCUGAAACGAAACAGAAAAUUAAAAGAUUAGAUUUUUGAAUUUUCAGAUCUGAAAUAAAAUCCCCAAAUCAGCAAAGAAUCAAAUUGAGAAUAGAAAUAAGUGUUAGGGUUCUUGAAACCCUCAAGGAGAUUGUGAUUCUGCCCAAUUGAACACCAAGAUAGUUUUCCCCAAAUUUCGACAAUCUAAUUUCAC